AAUCAUCAACAGUGGCACCAGUGUGGUGUGAAGUCUAGUAAGGGAAAACCGUUUGAAAAGGGAUUGAAUCCUCUUAAACUCUGAAUCUGUUUAAUUUUACGAAUAUUUCUGGUCAUCUAGAGUUUAUAGGACAUACUGCUUCACCUGUUAGCGCCACGUGGACUCCAUUCCAGAGCCCAGCUGGAGAGGAACCCAGUGAGGAAGAACAUCCAGAGCAAUGACGUGUCAGCAACAUCACAGCCAAGAUGGUGAUGGUGACAAUGAAGCAAUGAAUGAUGAUAAUGAUGCACCAGUAUUAGUUUGACUUUUAUGGGAUGAGGAUGCAUCACCAUCGGGAAUGACAGGACAAAGUACGAGAAAAUAAAUGUGCCUCAUAGGACCAAUGCACUUCAUAAACGACUCACAGUUCCCAAUCUCCUUCUGCAAAACAGCAAGAACAAGACUGUCAUGUGAUCCAUCCAGGUUUACCUGUAUUAUCUUAAAGCAGGAUAGAGAAGAGCAAUGAGUAAGUUAUGUGCAUUACAAACAUGACUUUUCAAUAUUUUCAUAUGAAGUACAAUGUUUUAAAAACUGUUAAAUGUCAGUAACCAUUCACAAUGAAUGAAUUGUUUCAUUAAAAAGAAUCUUAUA